GCUUUAUUAGUAUACCCCGUACAUCUGCCUUCCAAGCAGAAAGAUUGAUUAUCAUCAAAUAAAUCA
rnacentral:tRNA from 1 species